GAUGAACGCUGGCGGCGUGCUUAACACAUGCAAGUCGAACGGAAAGGCCCUGCUUUUGUGGGGUGCUCGAGUGCCGAACGCGUGAGUAACACGUGAGUAUCCUGCCCUUGACUUUGGGGUAACUUCAGGAAACUGGGGCUAAUACCGGAUAGGAGCUCCUGCUGCAUGGUGGGGGUUGGAAAGUUUCGGCGGUUGGGGAUGGACUCGCGGCUUAUGAGCUUGUUGGUGGGGUAGUGGCUUACCAAGUGUUUGACGGGUAGCCGGCCUGGGAGGGUGACCGGCGACAAUGGUCCUGAGGGACGGCGCAGUCGGCAACGGGAGGCAGCGGUGGGGAGCAUUGCACAGUGGGCGCAAGCCUGAUGCAGCAGCGCUGGGUGCGUAAUGCCGUCCUUCGGGGUGUAAACCGCUUUCGCCUGAGACGAAGCGUGAGUGACGGUAAUGAGUAAAGAAGCACCGGCUAACUACGUG
rnacentral:rRNA from 1 species